GUAAGAGAGAGGCCCUGGCCCGGCCUGGGCGCAUGCACGCGUAGCCGGGGGCCUGCAGCCGGGGGUCUACUGCCCUGGGGUUAGUGCCCCCCGCGGCGCCCCUCCCCCCAGCUCUGCCCCAGCCCCCUCCGCGUAGCAGGGAGAGGGCUCCCCGCGCCCCCCCCGCCCCCCGCGGCGUGGUCAGUGGGCACGGCUGCUGGCGCGCGGGGGAUCUCGGGGCAGGUGCAGGCGCAGAAUCAGCCCCCUGCGCCAGGAGCCGAGCAUCCCCCACGCGGGACCCCCCACCCUCUCCUGUCCUCCCCUGCAGUGGGCGUGGUGCCCCCUUUGCUGCAGAACAGGGCCCUGGGUACAGGAGAACCAAUGGUGGAAGGCCUAAGGAGGACCCUGGGGGGAAGAAGGGAAAAGGAAGUGGGGAGGGGGCUGCAGAGUGUGAAGGGGCUCCGGAGAGGCGGACAGGUGGUCGCAAGAGAGUGCGCUUGCAUGCGAAGGGCUAGGCUGGUGGGGUUCCCGCUUCUCACCCCCUUGCAGGGGUAGAUAGAUGUGGUAGCUAGAGAGGAGCCUGGAGGGAGGCAAGUGCGGCCACAUGUGUGGGGGGCUGCAUCUGCAUCUGCAUCGCCCAGCCAACCUCCCUCUCUCCCUGCCACGCAGGGCGUGGCCCCGGGACCCACCCUGGGCAGGUGCGGCAGCUCCUCCCCUCCUCUCCUCCCCCGUCUCCUGGAGCCCCCCAUCCAGGGUUGCCCUGCGGAAGAGGAAUAGGGGAGGGGGCUUUUCUCGUUCUCCCCCUCCCUCUCCAGAGGAGGAGGCGUGGUCACUGCACUGCUUGGCACAUGAGAGUGGGGGACAUCUGGCCCAGCCAAGUCCUCUGCAGCACUUGUUCCUGAAACAAACAUGUUCUGGUGUCUCCGUGUGCCUGGGUCUGCUUGACUGUUUCACCCCCUCCCCCAAACUACCCUGGAUGGGCACUGGGACCCAGACAGUAUGAAUCUCUGCUCUGGGCCCUACUGGAAGGCCGAAGACCCCGUGCGUGUGAAUUGGACCGGACACAAGAGAGCAAGGCAGCCACCUUCACCCCUGGCCGGGGGCUGGAGGAGGCCUGGAAGACCUCAGCCAGGCCUUCCGAAGAACUUUCCUCAGGAACAUAUGACUCAGCAGUUGGAUUCCCAGGGGGACAGAGGCCCCGAAGUUCUCCCUGCUAUGGUUGGAGUCCACACCUCUGGAACUUGGCACCUGAUCUUGGAAGGCCAGAGGGUUGGAUGGAGAGCCGGGACUGCGCAGGAGGCGACAGGCAGUUGUGACGGGCUCCCAGACUUGGUGGUGUGUACCCCUUCUUCCCCCACGUAUGUAUAUUCUGGGAUCGGGGGCGAUUCUUCUGUGGAGGGGGGUGCUUUCUCUCCUCAUCGCUUUUUUUUUUUUUUUUGGCUGUUUCCCUUUAAUUUUUCCACUUUAAUUUCCAUUCUCCUUAGGGUGAGUUAGUCCAAACUGACAUGGGUCAUGAGGAAGGAAACAGACUCCCCCUCCCCCCUCCAGGUUCCACUUCCAUCCACACCUUGAGCCCAGCAGGAGGUCCCUUUCUUUAGGAUGGACAGAUGACUCACCCUCUCUUUGGGUAUCUGUCUGUCAAUCAACAGAGUUGUGAUGCAGAAACGUUAGUGGGGGGGCCAGGGAAAGAAAAGGUGAAGGGACAACUUGGUUGGGGGCUCCCUGGCCCAAGGUCUGGCCAUGGGAGCGAGCGUCAGGGUCUGGGUGGAGCGGGAAGGGGGGUGGGACCCGGGCGCCCGGGUGGGGGCUGAGACUGUGGCAGGUUUGUCACUGCGUAGUUGGGGGAACUAAGUGGCGAGUGGUGACGCAGUCAUGGGCACAUCUGAGGGGGGCAGGGGAUCGAGGCUCCCCGAGUCUGCCGAGCCCCGCUGAGAGGGUUAAGGAUGAGCCGAGAAGGGGAAGCCAGCAUUUAGAGAUUAAAUGUCAUCCUUCUGGCGUUGCAAAGUUGUUUACCUUGCAUUCUCUGUGUCUCCAUGUUGGCAUCUCUCCAGUUCCCAUGUGAUGGCCUUCCCUGUACUGCUGCAUCAUUAACUAAGUGGCAGGGCUGGCCCUUCAUUGGCCAGGGGAGGGCUCAGGCUCCAGACACUUCCUCCCAUUGGUGAGAAGGGUGAUGGCAGGUGAAAAGCUCUUUUGGAUUGGCCGAGAACUGGGUAUCAAAUCUGAAUUUCCAUUUCACUGGAGAAAAAAAGGGGGGUAGUGUGGCGAUGAUGGUUGGAGCGUGGAGGGGGGCACCGGGCAGUUCGGAUCUCUGAAAGCUCUUCAGGGGCGUGUGUGUGUGCAACAGUGCCCAGGGUGCUUGGAGGCGGAAGCUCCUGGGCAUCCGAAGGACCCACAGGGCCAGCUUGAUUGCAUUUGCUCCUUAGGUGUAAGAAGAUCUUGCAGCUGUACAAACUUUUUUUUAAAUGGGUUUUUUUUUCUGGAGGGGGAGAAGAGUUGAUUUGAGAGGCAUGAGGGAUGGCAGAAGAGUUGACAGCCUCAGAAGAAAAGCUGCCUGGGCUUAUUUGAUUUCAAAAGAGGGAGUUUCCAGCUGUCACUGGCCGCACCUUGGUGUUGCAGCAAAUAACUCCCAACUCUCCUGGAAAUGCGUGGGCAAGGUAGGGCUGCGGCUGCUGCCUCCCGGGGCGGCCUCCAGACUGCUCCCCGGGGACCCGAGGUUUGCACUGACGUCCGGAGGUAGCCAUAGGUCCUCAGAGGCCAGCCUCGCGUCGGGGAGGACUGGCCUUCCUCACGUCAUCCUCAGGUGGAUGGGUGCUGGGGGAGAGGAAUGCCAUGAGGAAUGGCCCCGGAUGUUAGCCCCUGCGCUGGGUGGGCUUUCUCUAAGAGCUGAUGGAAGAAAGAGCUUCCUGACCUGCAUCGAAGGAGAGGAGAAUUGGGAGAGAGAAACUGGGGCAGCAGCUGCUGGGGGGAAUCUGAAAAAGAAAUGUUUAUCGAGAUCGUCAUCCUUCCCUUAAAUGGAGGUCCCAAGUUUGCCGUAGAUGUUCAGGUAAGAAAUAGAUAGGCCCCUUGAGCUCAGCUAUCCUCCCCCCCCCACCUCCCGAGUGGGUCAUGAAAGCUCCGUUGUGCCCCGGCCGUCCACCCCAGCGCCGCAGUGCACCCUGGAGUUUUGGCCGGCGGCUCGUGCCCCCCCAUUUCUUAUGUAACCGUGUUAUGUGCCUUCUCUCGUCCUCUGGCACGGCCCUCGCCCCGUUGGGGUGCAGAAAGCCCAGGAGGGAGGUCCUGGCUGGGGGAGAAAUUAGUGAACAAGGCUGCUCACCAGCCCCUGAGUGGUUGCGCAGUUGGCAAUACGGGCUGGGCGUGAGGGCAGAUUCCACCCUGUCCCUGCCUUGUCACCAGUGGUUUCCUGGGAACAUCUGCCUUGGAGAGAGAACGGUCCCUUUCAACUUCCUUCUGUAACUCAGCUCAUUUUGGAGGGGGGGAGAGCUUUCCAAAGGAGAAGGUAUGAUGGCUAACAAAGUAAGAUUUUAAAAAAAAAUUUUUUUUUAAGCAAAGAUGGAGGUCGGAUGGGAUGGCGUAGUUCUUGUGACUUUCUCGGGUCAUCCCGAUCCCGGUUGUUUUUCUUGUCCUUUUUUAAUUGUUUGCCCCUGGACAGUGGUCUUGAAUCCAGAUGCUUUCCUGUUGCUUGUCUUGGGGAGGUGUCCAUCAGUCCCUGCCAUGGUGGAGUGGGCUUCUGCGGCCCUACUGCGCCAAUUGCGCAGAACGGGCGGGGGCCGAUGCGGGGAGGGGGGAGGAGAUAGAGAACCCGGCUACUGCAGAAGCAGCAGAGGACGUAGUGGAGGUUGCGGCAGUGAGAGGAGGAGGUUCUCGGAGCCGGGAAGGGCUUGUUGUGCCCACCCUUACCCCGAGACCCAGACUUUGGGAAACAUGAUUAUUGUUCUUGGGACUUAUGGCUGUGUUGGGCAGGGCCCUCGCCAGUCAGAAAGUGUUUGGAGGCACAGACUGCAACGAUCCCCUCCUCGGAGAAAGUCCUGACGCACUUUGGGGUGGGGUGGCUGACGUAGCCCAGAACGUGAGAAGCAUCGGCCGUGGGGCCCGUGUUCCCGGCAGCCCAUUCUUCGACCACCGGCUGUGACGGGACGUGAAUCAGGUUUUGCUGCUUUCCAUGGCGUUUUGUGUAUGUCGAGAAUCCCGGGGGGGAUUUGAAGGUCACCCCUUCGUUUUACAGGUGAGGAAACUGAGGUUUGGGGAGGCUGUAAUUACGUAGAUAGUAGUAAAUACCAAGCCCAGGUAUCCAGCUGGCUUCUUCCGACUCUCUACUAUGUCACGUAGACUAUAUAACACAGGAUACCCCUUGAUUCUUUCCUUUACAUCCUUAUUUACAUAUCCCAUGUAUACCAGCCCUAAUUGGAAAAUUGGGAGAGUCAUUUAGGAGUGGGGAGUAAGGAACUAGAAGGAAGGGGUAUUUGUAAUGCAAGGAUUGAUGAGUUGAUUCUUCUCGUGGGUACCCCUUCCUGAGAUCGCCCAUGGUUUGCUACAUCAUCUCCUCCUCCUUCCGUGCAAAAUGUGCCGUCGUCCCUGAAAUUUGUCAUCCUUGCUCCCCGAAGAACCUCCAGGGGGCCACCUCUCUCCCUGCUCCUUGGCUCACAGCUUGGAGGACCGGCCCCCAGGUGGCCUCUUUUGGUAUUGUGGCCGCCUCAUGAUCCUUUCCCCCACCUCUCCUCCUCCUCCUCCUCUCAAGAGACAGUGGAUGAGAUCCUAGGGCCUCAGAAGCCUGUGACCAUAGAGCCUCAGCUCUGGCCGAACCUGCUAAGAGCAGUUGGUCUCAAUGAUGAGGUGCCCAUCACCAGGGGAUGGAGAGCCACAGGAGAAGUGGGGGACCAUGUCCUAGGGGCCGAUACCUGUGUCAGUGGAGGGACUAGUCACCCAUGUGGAAGGAUGGCUUCUUAGUGAUGUUAAACUAAGAUGGAUGACCAAGGAUUGAUACCUGUGUCAGUGGAGGGAAUAGCCGUCCACUUAGAAGGACAACUUUUUGAUCAUGUUAAACUAAGGUGGAGAACCAAGGAUGGUCCAGUUUAGGAGAACAUUGUCUAGGGGCUAAUCUUGUGUCAGUGGAAGGAGUAGCUGCCCAGAUGGAAGGAUGGCUUCUUAGUGACGUUAAACUAAGGUGGAUGACCAAGGAUGGUCCAGUUUAGGAGUUCAUUUCCUAAGGACUGAUACCUAUGUCGGUGGAGGGAGUAGCUGCCCAGAUGGAAGGAUGGCUUCUUAGUGACAUCAAACUAAGGUGGAUGACCAAGGAUGGUCCAGGGUAGGAGACCAUUGCCUAGGGGCUGAUCCUGUGUCAGUGGAGGGAGUAGCUGCCCAGAUGGAAGGAUGGCUUCUUGGUAAUGUUACACUAAGGUGGAUGACCAAGGAUGGGUCAGUUUGGGAGACCAUUUCCUAAGGGCUGAUACCCGAAUCAAUGGAGAGACUAGGCACCCACAUGGAAGGAAGGCUUCUUGAUCAUGUUAAACUAAAGUUGAUGACCAAAGAUUAUUCAGUUUCCCUUGAGACUCUCCCUUUAGAGAGCACAUUAAUAUCUCAAAAUUCCAAGUCUUCACAUGCCCUCUUCUGCUUUAUUUGUUCAUUUAACUGACAUACUAAAUAACCUGCUGUGUGCAAGACACUGGGGAAGGUAUUACAUAUUGCCUUUGAUCUGGAGGAGUUCACAAUCCAGUUGGGUGGGAGAAAAAGGGAUGGACUGGGACCCUCUGGUUUCAUUGGUAUAGGGAACGCCCAGUGAGGAAUCUCUUUUUUUCCAAAGAUUACCCAUCAGCGCCUGCUUUGCCACUUUGAGAGCUGCCUGGAGCUCCGAGGUCAGUGACUUGUAUCGGAUCGCACCAUCAGGAUGUGCCAGGGAUGCAGGAUUCUCUCCUCUCAGAGGGCUCAUCAGAAUGCCCAUGAUGGAUGCUGAGCCACAGAAACAUUGUUGGAGAACCUAGAACCUCCCUGGUAAGGGGAAGCCACCUAUGAGGGACUGGGUUGGUCUCGCAUGAUUCUAGCAGCAGCACCAGAACAACAACAACAAUAACUAGCAUUUGCACAGUGCUUUAAGGUUUACAGUGCAUUUUAGCCACAUUAUCUCAUUUGAUUUCAUUAGAGGUGGGCCUUCUGUGGUUUUUGGCUGUCUGUGGUCCAUGUGCUUGCCAGCUUCUUUAAGGCCAUCAAAAAUAAACCUUCACUUUUUAUCAUCCCUGGUGUGGGCUAGGUUUGCUAUUGUACCGUUACAGGGUUCAGUACAUGGAAAAGUUCUUGACCCCUGAUCCCUUUGGCUUUCAGAAGCUUUUCACUUUUCUUGCUUUAGAGUAAACUAGAUGCACAUCACCCAGCCUGGGGGAGAGGGGGCAGGAGAGUGUUGUCCACCAUGGUCUUUAAGAUCCUGUUUAUCCUUAUUGUCUUAGGCUGUGAUAGAGUUUGUUAAUCCAAGCUAAUUGGUCUUACAAGCUUCUUGCCAAGUUCUCGUAUCAUGCUGUAGUCUUGCUGGGAACUGUGAUCUGAUGUGUCUGUAUCUAAUGGGGCUGUCUCUUUCUCCCUCCCAAAGGGAAUCCUGUGGACCCUCAUAGAUGGUAUUAUCAGGGAGCCAGUACCUGAGAAGGAAUGGCAGCCUUUAUUUUGGUUGGAUGUGUGUGGUGGGGACCUCAUGUCUUAUGACAGAUGCUGAUGUAGUAAGGGAAUCAGUGGUUCCCUUUGGGAGGGAAUGGGAUUUUUUCUUUUGGCUCAAACAGGAGAGAAAAUACCCCACAGGUACCUUGUGACUUUGACUGUGAUUGGUGUUCAUCUACAAAGCCAGUUAAGAUAGCAUGUCUCUGAGGCUCUGAUCUUGGGGGCCCAGGAUGUUGUGGGGCUCAGAAGACAGCUGGAGAGAGGGCUUGAGUGGCCAGGAUGGGAACAAAGGCCUGGCUGUGCUUCUUGGGGAUCCCAGCUUCUCCCACUUUGACCCACUGGGUCCCCUUGCUCUCCUCCUCCCCCCCCUUUUUUUCAUUUCUAUGUCUACCCCUCUUAGGAUCAGCAUGGAAGGGUCUGAGCACAGAAGCCUCUGAAUUGGAGAUCAGAGUAGCCUUCGAUAAAAGCCCUGGUCUUCCUCCGCUUGUUUUUGAAUUUCUGAAACUAGUUUUUCCAGAAGAGAGCAGAAGGACAGCAGCACACGGUUCCAAGGGAGUUGGAUGCUUGGACGAGCAUGUCCUGCUCUGGGUUUAGAUGGGGUGGGCCUUCUGUUGUCCCCUUUUAUUAAUCUCCUGCCCAACUGUCCCCAUCCUCAUCCUCCAGCUGAGCUGCUUGGCCCAAGGACUCGUAUGUCUGUGAUAGAGGGAACUUUCCUAAUGUGGCGUGAGCUGUCUGGUGGGUCAUUGGGCUGCUUAUUAGGAAACUAGCCCUGGGGCCUUCACCCCUUGCAUUCCUCCCAGAUGAGUGAAGUCUGGUUCCGUUUUCCCCUCCUUCCCCAUCCUGACCAGUUAGCUCAUUUAGUGGGAAAUUCCCCAGUGGCUUUCAGUGAGAGAUAUUCCAGUAAAGGGGGGGGGGGGACAGUAUGGGACACUAGGAAAAAGUCACUGAUGGUGAGAAAUGAAAAUGAGGGAAGAGCGAGAGAGAGCAAGUUUUAAAAAUUUUAAAGGAAAAAUUAAAAAAUCAUCCUUAUUUUGGUCAGAUGCCUCCCACCCUGAUGUAUCUGAUUUUGAGAAAGAUCCUGCUCAGGCCCAGUAUCUCAUCUGUAAAAUGAGAGGGUUGGACUAGCUGGAGUCCCUUCCCUCUAGAUCUGUGGCCCCCCAACACCAUAAUGAAUAAUUGCCCUCCUUUCUCUCCCCUGCUUUUGUGGACGAGGUCAGGAAGGCUGUUGAGGUGGCUAGUGGGAUUGACCGAAGGGGGUCUGAAGGAGGGAAAAGACCCCGCUGCAAUCUCUUCCUGUCAUGUCCGGGAAUAGGCAGGGUGGGGAGAUGUAGGAGGCGUUGCUGGGUGUGUCGGUUUGUAACUAUGGCUAUAAUGGGAAGAGGGUGAUUGGAGGAAGGUAACUGGAGGACUCUGAAUUCUCCUGAGUGACUGAAAACCACCCCACCCCAUCCCUUUUCCCCAAAGUCAGGACUUCAGGCUAGUUUUAACAGCUCAGUGACCCCCAGAUAAAGUCCACUUGGGGAGAUGGGCACGAAGGGAUGCAGUGCUAGGGGCACAGCAUCCUCCAGUGAUGCUUUUGGCUGGUUCUCUGCCUUCAAAGAGAAUGACCUUUUGUAGGGCUGCAGCCUAGCUGAGGGUCUGGGGUCUGUAGAUUAAGUUCUGGGAAUGAGUGACCAGGCCCUGGGUUUCUGUCCCUAAAUUGUUGGGUUACUGACUGAGUCACCCUGACUUUCAAGACCCUGGCUGCCCUCUUUGAAAAAAAAAAAUUGAACCCUGGCCAGCAUGCUGAUUACAAAACGUUUCCGAGCAGUAACAAUAAUAGCAACAAUAAUAAAAAUAAUGACAAUUGGCAGAGCUGGAGGUGGAGUUUUAGUGACAGUUGAGAAAGCAGCUCUUUUAAGCACUGGCCACGUCACCAGGAAAUAAAUCUCUGUCCCACUAAUAAAUCACUGUAAUGUACUUGGCCAAUAGGACCUGUUUUAAUUAGCCACACCAAAUCCGUCUACGUCAAGAAAAUAAUCAUGCCUUGUAUUUUGAUAGUGCUUUUGGAUAACGUGAAACGAGAGUCAGAGGACCGAGUCCUUGAUCCGAUGGCUCCCCCCCCCCCCCCCCCCCGAGCACUCCCCGGCUUCUGUUGGCAGAUCUGGCCCAACUUUGCCUCUGCUCUGGAACAUUUUACUCUCUGUAGCCCAUCGGAAACCUUAGUUUUUGUGGGAUCUGAACCCUGUGUGGGGCUUUGAGACCCUCUCAGGAGGAUGAUUAGGAAUAAAUUUUAGAAGCCCUGCUUUCUAUAUUCAUUCUUUUUAUUCUUUUCUUUAUCCCUCCUUCCUCCUCUACCCCUCCCUCCCUCCUUCUUUACCUAACACACAUACAGACUUGGCAGAUAGGAGUUCCUCCUAGAUCUAGGUGGUUGUGACUUUCUGGAAUGAAAUUGUUUCUGUGAAUAACUCGGCCUUAGCCAGCAACACGCAAACGUGGAAGCCGACCAGGCCCCAGAAGAUGUCUCCAGUGGGGCCUGCCCUUGGCUAGGUAGGAGUCGGGAAAGUGAGCUUUUUUCAGCUAUCUAGGUUAUGGGCAGCUGGCUGUUCCUGAGGGCAGGACCUUAGCCCUGGCGAUGUGGGGAGGGGGUGCCGUUGUCUCUGGUACCCCCCAGAGCUUCCUCUAAUCCUGCCCCUGUCACCCCACUUUGUCCUCAUCUCCCUCCACACCCCACCUCCAAACUGAUGACUCCCUCUUCCCCCACCUUUGCUAUGGGAUCCCAGAGUCUGGGGCUUCCUUGCAUCGCAGCAUUAUUGGGAAACACUGAUAAGAGCCUCAUUAACUAGGAACGGCCCCAAAAAGUCUGGCUCUUUCUUUUUGCCCUUUUCACCCUGAAAACCCAGAGCCUUGGAGAUGUAGUUUGGAUUUUCUCUGGGGUCUGGCCGAGGCCUUACAGAUCCACAAGUUGCUAGUUAGUUGAGGGAUGGAGGGAGGAAGAUGGGGUCCAAGUCUGAGGUUUGGCUUGGAGGAGGAGGGAACGUCCGGUCUAGUGGGGACUUCAUUGAUCAGCCCCAUCUUGGUUAAUCACGGUUCUGGGGAACCUCAGGCUGCAAGAGGCCAGGGCAGAGGUCACUAUGACGAGCAGAGCCUGGGUCCAGCGGCAACGGUGGGGCAACUCUGUCCGGGUGACCCCUUCCUCCCUCCUCCUGGGAUUCUGAAACAGUCAGCGGCCACUUCUAGCCAUUCGCAUGCUGGUGACUGUGAGGUCCUCCAUUAUACUUUCCUUUUCUUGGGCUUUGGGAAUCUGCGGCUAAUGAAGUUUGGGCUUAGUUGGGUUUCCUCCUGGCAGAGUUGUGCAUCCUGUGCAGAUAACAUGGGGGGGGGGGGAACAAAGCAAACGUAGUAAGGAGGUAGAGGAGGUGAAUCUGGGAUGUCAGCCACCC
rnacentral:lncRNA from 1 species